AUAGAGAGAUUUAAAAAAUCACCACUCCUCGUGUCUCGAAUGAGCAUUCGUGAUUCUCGAAGCAUUUCCAAUGUCGUUUAAGUUUGCCCGUUCAGGUUCCGCAAUCUGGACACGAAUUUAUAUCGUACGCCAUCUCGUAGGCUAAGAAUCGUGAUUGCUACGUUGCUGGCAGGCAUAUUGCUGGCUGGAGGUAAAGAACGUCGUGACCGAGAAAUUGACCUUCGAUGUGACUAAUAACUAACAGACCGUCGACGGAAGUGAACGGGGCAAUCGAUCCGCCAUUGCUAACGUAAACGGUUACGUUUCUUCGUUUCUAUUACGGAAUGACAAUACAAUCCAAUAAAACGAAACAAGUCGUACGAGUAGAUUUCUCCUAGUUACUUGAGUUCAAAAAGGUCACUAGAAGAAUUCACUGCUAAUUCUAACGAGGUAAGAUCUACCGCGCACCAGUGUUACCAACGUAUUGUUGUCACUAGGAUAUUGUCACUAGGCACGAAGAGAGCAGACGAAAUCGCGUUGGCGUGGCUGAGUUCACGGGCUGUUACAGAAAAGCUGGGUGUUCAAGAUGGAGUCGUGGGUUUGACUGGCCGUGUAACGAGAACAAAUGUUUCUCGCGAUACGCCGUUCUCAGUGGACAAUAUGGUGGUUAUACGAUACGAGUGUUAGCAAAAGGUAGAAACAAAACAAAAAACGUUCUCGGGGAAUAUAGGCAAGUGAAGUUUAACGAGUGAAACGAACGAAUCGAACCUGAAUCGUAGACUGUAAUGUCGCCUGUCGAAUUCAAGAAAGUUUAACCACCCUUUCUCGAUUUGUACUUAUAACGAAAGCUGCAGGAUUCUCUUGGACGAGGUACGUGACACUAAAUGAUACGAUACGAAUUUCCAAGGAACCCGAGAUAUCAACGUUCGUGUCAUUCUUUCGGCGUCUACGAGAUAAGCUCGGCAAACAAAGGCAACACAAAAUCUCAAAGGCUUUCAGCAUUUCCCAAACAUUCUGGACUGCUUGUGCGCUUCAAAGAAAUUUCAAAGCAAAGACAGUAAGAUCAGGUUAUGAAAUUUGGGAAUUUAAGGAAUUUCCAAAGUGCCGAUUAUCCUGAAAUACCUGCAGUUCGAUCCGGGCACGAAUAAGGCGGUACCGAAAGAGAAGGAUUGGUCCAAAGAGAACGUUGGGGAGUCCCAGACUUAAGAGAGUAAAGAUCACUAUGGAAGUUGGACGGUGAAGGGAGAACAGGGGGAAGAAAAGAAAGAAGAAGAUGAGAGCGAUAUAGAUAGAAGGAGAAGUGAUGUAAAACAAACAAAACGUAUUGGCAGUUAUCUGUUGGCGCGGGGGGAUAAGGGGUUGCGCAAUUCCCAUCCUAUCCCAUCAAACAACCCAGGGCGGCCCAGAAUUCAGCCUCGAGAUAGGAAAGUGUUUCAGGAAUGUUCCACGAAGACUUUGGAAUUCGCACAGGGGGUAUCAACUUGAAACUAGGAACGUGAAACGCGCGCACCCCCAUCUCUGCAGUGUCUCGGGAGGAAAGAGGUACAAGUAUAAAGACGAAGGAUCAGGACGAAGAGUUUAGAAGAUGAAAAAAAAUAUAUAUCGAAUAUAAUUAAGAAAAUAUAUAAUUGUGAUUAGAUUCAGUUAGAAUAUAUCGAGACUGAUUUGAUUGUUUGAUUAAUUAGUUUUAUAAUCGGCAGCCAUCUUGGAUAUAUCGAUGCACUUGCCAAGAGGUGCAUUCUGGGUAUCUAACAAUAUGUGCUCUCGUCUCCGUUCGGAAACAUAAUGAGAAUGUGGUGUCGCCGGUCCAAGCUGCCACGCUGGAGAUAUUCCUAGGAGUAAGAAGGAAGGAAGUGGAACUGCUGGGCACAGGCCCAGUGGUUCUCGCGUCAACUGAUAUUUUGACGUUUCUAACGUCAAAGAGGAUCGAGCACGUGUGCGGAGAACCGCUCGUCUAAGCACCCAAUAAAGCAGCCGAUAAAAUGCCAAAAUGGCGCGCAGACAGGACGCGCUGUCUUAUACGAGAGCCUUUAUCCUGCAGACAGCGAUCCUGCAAAGUCCGCGCCGGCUUAACGACAUCCACGUCGUCUUAAGCUCGAAUGGCCGAAGUAGGCCCCGAUAGCGAUCGUCGUAUCUCUAUAGCUAUAUAUAUAUAUAUACAUAAGAAAACAGUAUGACAUACAGGUGCAUGUGCAGUGUGCAUAUAAACACGAUACUUCAUUCCCAAUGAAAAUCGACCAAUCGUCUGUUCGAUAUGAGAAAAUAUUUUUCAAUUAUAAAAAUAUUUUUUUUUCAUGUUUUUUUUUUUUUCCUUUUUUUUUCGAGGCUCCUGUCCUCCUCGGUCGUCGUACGUGGAUUAUGAAAAAUGGAUUGAAGGAAUAAAAUAUUUUUCCUCGGCACAGAGUCAUUGGUACCAGUACAGUUUUUUGUGCUCGUAACGAGGAACGUCAUUAUUAUUUCAUUAUUUUUAUUUAAUCGCUACCUAUGCAUUUUAAUAAUGUAACACGAAGAACGCAUCGCGAGAGAGCGUCGCUGGAAACGAAUGUCGGGUAGAAAGCAAGUGUUUUUCAUCGAGCGGGAAUGUAUUAUUAAAGAUAUUAUUAUGGAAGAAUAUACGCAGUGGGAAGGAAUAUAAUUUUCAUGUAAUAGUCGCCCGUUGCAUGUCCACCUAGUUGCAGGUAUAUUCAACUACUCGGUUAUAUAUAUAAUAUAUGUAUAUAUUUAUAAUACACAGUAACAUAUAUCUACGGAGUUAAUUCCAAGAGACUAUAUGUAUAUGUAUAUAGCUAAUGUAUAGUACAUUCAUACAUAACAUAUUCGAGACAGGAGUCCUGGAUGUGGUAUGCACUGAUCGAAGUUGUAACGGACGUCCCGACGCUCGGCGACGCCAAACGCAAGUACACCGGCUAAUUAAAUAGUAGAAGCAAAAGGCAAAACCUGUUUUACCUGUCGAAUCGGUAUUAAAUUGGAAUUCGCUUAUGACAGCCAUUGCUGUUUUUAUUUUGCAUAAUUCAAAUUUUAUAUUCCCACGUUAUAUUUAUUCGCGAAAUCGGAAUGAACUAUUGACCUCGCAGCGUCUUAUAUAAGAUGUUCUCAUGGACCAUUGUCGAUAUGGGUAUAGAUAUAUAUACAGAAAAGGAGUCAAGAACACGUUACGGAUUGGUCAAGAAAAGCAACGAGUACAAUGUUUAGUCUGCGACAAUUUUAAACGUUCGUCGUUCGUCGUACGGCCUCAUUGCCGUCUUGACAUACGCAAAACUCGUCUUCCUGUUGCGCAUGCGCAGUAAGAUAUUCUUAUAUAUUUAUAUUUAGACUUAACCUUUGCGUUCGCCGUGUUUCUCUGCUUGGUAAAUGAAAGAAAAAUGAAGAAAGAGUUAAAAAAAACUUAAUACGCCAUUUUUAAUUGAUACUCAUCCUGCAGUCUGAUAGUGCGUUCCCAUUCUAUGUAAGAUAAAAACAUAGUUAUUUUGCGUAAAUUUCCAAAUUCCAUUUCGCGGCUUGAAAAAAUCGUCGAAGGUGAAUUGCACGGAAUUGCGUGCCAAAGUAAACGGCUAAUCUGAUUAGUAAACGCUCGCGUAAUCGUGCCACGCCGCCAACGUUUGCGCCAGUUUAAAUCUGGAAUAAAGUAAUACCCUGUAAUCUAUUGUAUCUAGGUGCGCAUGCGCAUUCGAAGAUAAUGUAUCUUUAUAUCUGUAUUGUAUCUCGAGAGAAAGAGAAAUGAAAAUGAGAUUAAAUAAUUCGUACUUGUUUCCUCGCGCAUCUACCUGUGUAUUCGCAACAGUCACAUUUUUCCAGUGUAACCUAAUGACGGUUUAAAAUCGAAUUACAGGGUUCCUUGUUAAUAUUUUUCAAAAAUCAGGUAAAUCUUCCUUCGCUAUAUUCAUCGUAUAGAUUUGGACGUUAAAUGAUAAUAUGAAUAACUUUUAUACUUCUUACGCUAAUUUUUACAGAGUAUAUAGCCAUUCUGGAGCAUCUUACAACCUGAAGUUGGUUCUUUCAUAGAAAUUAAAUACAUCGGCUAACUUCGGUCGGUGCAAUAUACUACUGGUCAACAUUGUGUACUAUUAUAUCUAGCUGGUCGUCAUAUGUCAACAUACGUAACUAUCGUACUGGUUCGGCACUGUUUGUAUUCACGGACUUUACCAUAUGUGUAUACGUAUGCAUAUAUCAGGCAAAAAUCCCACAAAGAAUAUUCUGCUCGCAAUCGGUGGAUGCUUAAAGCUUUCAGCGUUUUGCAAGCCGCUCAGAAAGGCAAAAAGGACUGCGUCAUCUGGCAUACAUCGGAUAAUGGCCGACUGGGCAACCCACUCGCUAUUAUCGCGCAUAGAAGCGCAUCCUUUGUGUCUAUAAUCGCAAGUGGAACUUUGUCGUUCGAAAUCAAAUUGCAGAAUUUUACGUAUCGAAAUAUAAGUUUCUCAACAUUUUUUAUCGCAUUCCUUAAAUUUUUUAUUUUUGAAAAAUGGCAAAGUAUGUAAAAAAAUAAUUUUUUUAAUUAUCAGCAACGACUCAACGGUCUUGUCUUUGAACUUUUAGAAAUUCUUUGUAAGCAGAAAAUUCGAACUCUGGUCAAUUAUUAUAUACAGUUUAUAUAAUAUAUGUAUAUAUUCAUGAAAAAGAUGUAUCUACAUACAUAUAUAUAAAUAUACCUCGGACCCCUUCGUACGCGUAAGAAAUGACUUUCCUUCUGUUCCGCCAAAGAAUAAUUGAUUGUAUCGGAGAAAUAUCGAUACUUAUUACCAAUCAUAUAUACGUAUAGGCGCAGCAGACAUUGUAUACCAGCUCUGAAAAAUGUUUACAUAUUCUGGGAACAAUUUAUCGUCCGUCUGAUAGGAAAUAACAAUUUUUCGAGGAAAUAAAAGAAAAGACGACAGCAUCACGUCAAACGCGUCAAAGAAAAAAAAUGAGUAUUGGUCUCCCACGCACGCGCAAGAUGUACAGUAAAAGUACAAAUAGAUUUAUAUGUCACUACAUAAGAUACACUGUAUAUGGGAGAUCUUAUGUAAGAGAGGAAAAGGACCUUGAACGUCACAUAUAUAUAUAUAUAUAUAUAUAUAUAUAUAUAUCCACGUAUGAAUACGAUACAUUCUACUCGUAGAUAGCUGGCAAACCCAGUUGGUUGCAAACGGUUAUGACACGCGUAACCGGGCAAGACGUGGCUGCCAUUAUUAUUACUGCUUGUGCUUCGGUUCUCAUGGCUGACUUACGAAACUAAGAAAUUCAUGAAUCAAAGAUAUAUAUAUUGAUAUCGAAUAUCCUGAUGAAAUAUUACUAAUCAUGGGUACAAUUAAAAUUAUAUAUCCGAAGA